rnacentral:rRNA from 1 species
UACGGGGGGGGUAAGCGUUGUUCGGAAUUACUGGGCGUAAAGGGCUCGUAGGCGGCCAACUAAGUCAUACGUGAAAUCCCUCAGCUUAACUGGGGAACUGCGUGUGAUACUGGAUGGCUUGGAUUUGGGAGAGGGAUGCGGAAUUCCAGGUGUAGCGGUGAAAUGCGUAGAUAUCUGGAGGAACACCGGUGGCGAAGGUGGCAUUCUGGACCGACAUUGACGCUGAGGAGCGAAAGCCAGGGGAGCAAACGGG